GAUGAACGCUGGCGGCGUGCCUAAUACAUGCAAGUCGAGCGAACAGACGAGGAGCUUGCUCCUCUGACGUUAGCGGCGGACGGGUGAGUAACACGUGGAUAACCUACCUAUAAGACUGGGAUCACUUCGGGAAACCGGAUCUAAUACCGGAUAAUAUAUUGAACCGCAUGGUUCAAUAGUGAAAGACGGUUUUGCUGUCACUUAUAGAUGGAUCCGCGCCGCAUUAGCUAGUUGGUAAGGUAACGGCUUACCAAGGCAACGAUGCGUAGCCGACCUGAGAGGGUGAUCGGCCACACUGGAACUGAGACACGGUCCAGACUCCUACGGGAGGCAGCAGUAGGGAAUCUUCCGCAAUGGGCGAAAGCCUGACGGAGCAACGCCGCGUGAGUGAUGAAGGUCUUCGGAUCGUAAAACUCUGUUAUUAGGGAAGAACAAAUGUGUAAGUAACUAUGCACGUCUUGACGGUACCUAAUCAGAAAGCCACGGCUAACUACGUG
rnacentral:rRNA from 1 species